rnacentral:rRNA from 1 species
CCUACGGGAGGCAGCAGUGGGGAAUAUUGGGCAAUGGGCGCAAGCCUGACCCAGCAACGCCGCGUGAAGGAAGAAGGCUUUCGGGUUGUAAACUUCUUUUGACAGGGAAGAGCAGAAGACGGUACCUGUCGAAUAAGCCACGGCUAACUACGUGCCAGCAGCCGCGGUAAUACGUAGGUGGCAAGCGUUGUCCGGAUUUACUGGGGGUAAAGGGCGUGUAGCCGGGCUGACAAGUCAGAUGUGAAAUCCGGGGGCUCAACCCCCGAACUGCAUUUGAAACUGGUGGUCGUGAGUAUCGGAGAGGCAGGCGGAAUUCGUAGUGUAGCGGUGAAAUGCGUAGAUAUCAGGAGGAACACCGGUGGCGAAGGCGGCCUGCUGGACUGCAACUGACGUUGAGGCCCGAAAGCGUGGGGAGCAAACAGGAUUAGAUACCCGAGUAGUC